GAUGAACGCUGGCGGCGUGCCUAAUACAUGCAAGUCGAGCGAACGGACGAGAAGCUUGCUUCUCUGAUGUUAGCGGCGGACGGGUGAGUAACACGUGGAUAACCUACCUAUAAGACUGGGAUAACUUCGGGAAACCGGAGCUAAUACCGGAUAAUAUUUUGAACCGCAUGGUUCAAAAGUGAAAGACGGUCUUGCUGUCACUUAUAGAUGGAUCCGCGCUGCAUUAGCUCGUUGGUAAGGUAACGGCUUACCAAGGCAACGAUGCAUAGCCGACCUGAGAGGGUGAUCGGCCACACUGGAACUGAGACACGGUCCAGACUCCUACGGGAGGCAGCAGUAGGGAAUCGUCCGCAAUGGGCGAAAGCCUGACGGAGCAACGCCGCGUGAGUGAUGAAGGUCUUCGGAUCGUAAAACUCUGUUAUUAGGGAAGAACAUAUGUGUAAGUAACUGUGCACAUCUUGACGGUACCUAAUCAGAAAGCCACGGCUAACUACGUG
rnacentral:rRNA from 1 species